GACGAACGCUGGCGGCGUGCUUAACACAUGCAAGUCGAACGGUGAAGCGCCUUCCUUUUUGGUGGGUGUGGAUGAGUGGCGAACGGGUGAGUAACACGUGCGUAACCUGCCCCCUUCUUCUGGAUAACCGCAUGAAAGUGUGGCUAAUACGGGAUAUUCUGGGUCUGUCGCAUGAUGGGUCUGGGAAAGAUAUUGUUUCGGUGGGGGAUGGGCUCGCGGCCUAUCAGCUUGUUGGUGGGGUGAUUGCCUACCCAGGCGGUGACUGGUAGCCGGCCUGAGGGGGAGGCCGGUCCAGAGGGGGAUCGGGACCCGGCCGACUCCCGAAGGCAGGAGACCGGUGGGGAAGGUAGUAGACGGGAGUAAGGCCUAAUGAGGCGACGCGCGGGACGGAUGGGGGCCGUUCGGUUUGUAACCUCUUUCGCCAUGAAAGGAGGCCCGCCUGGUUUUUGGGUGGGGUGACGGUAGCUGGAUAAGAAGCGCCGGCUAACUACGUG
rnacentral:rRNA from 1 species